rnacentral:rRNA from 1 species
GAGGGMAAGYCUGGUGCCAGCAGCCGCGGUAAUUCCAGCUCCAGUAGCGUAUAUUAAAGUUGUUGCAGUUAAAAAGCUCGUAGUUGGAUUUGUGGUGUUUUUUUUUUUAUUUGCUUUUUUUGGUUUUUUGUUUUUCUCUUUUUGAGAUGAAUUGAAAACCUGGAAGCGAGGACACCAUCCUUGACAGGUUUGAAAGUGAUAUUAUAUCACCGCAAACAUUGUCAUCCUUUACUUUGAAAAAAUUGGAGUGAUUCAAGCAGGCAAGAAUUAUAAUUUUAAUUUUAAUUUAACUUUGCUUCUGCACAUGUUAGCAUGGAAUAAUGCAAGAGGACUUGGGUUUUCUCUUUCAUUGGUUUCAGGAAUCCGAGUAAUGAUUGAUAGGGACAGUUGGGGGUGCUCGUACUCGACGGCCAGAGGUGAAAUUCUUGGAUUCGUUGAAGACGAACAACUGCGAAAGCAUUCACCAAGGAUGUCUUCUUUAAUCAAGAACGAAAGUUGGGGGAUCGAAGAUGAUCAGAUACCGUCGUAGUCCCAACCAUAAACGAUGCCGACCAGGGAUCAGCGAGCGUUGACUUGGCGUUCUCCAUUUUCUCUCUUUUGAGAAUUUUGUAGAUUUUGCCAACCUCAUUAAUUUGAAACGACCUCGUUGGCACCUUGCGAGAAAUCACCAGUCUUUGGGCUCCGGGGGGAGUAUGGUCGCAAGGCUGAAACUUAAAGGAAUUGACGGAAGGGCACAACCAGCAGUGGAGCCUGCGGCUUAAAUUGACUCAACACGGGGAAACUUACCAGGUCCAGACAUCAUAAGGAUUGACAGAUUGAAGAUCUUUCUUGAUUUGAUGGUUGGUGGUGCAUGGCCGUUCUUAGUUGGUGGAGUGAUUUGUCUGGUUAAUUCCGUUAACGAACGAGACCUCAACCUGCCAAAUAGGUUGUUCCCUUGCUGUUCUUUAUGGCGAGGGUGGUUGUUUGUGUUUCUUCCUUCGUUUUACGUUUGGUGAGAAGUACACAACUAUGACUGAUUCAUUUCUGUGAAUCAUGAUCAUACAACACUUCUUGGAGGGACUAUCAGUUCGCAUCUGAUGGAGGUUUGAGGCAAUAACAGGUCUGUGAUGCCCUUCGAUGUCCUGGGCUGCACGCGCGCUACACUGAUACAUGCAUCAAGCAGUUCAAUCAUACUGGACAUAAUUUUAUGUUUAGUGACACCUUUGCUGAUAGGCAUGGGGAAUCUUUGAACUUGUAUCGUGAUGGGGAUAGAUGAUUGCAAUUAUUCAUCUUCAACGAGGAAUUCCUAGUAAACGCGGCUCAUCAAGCCGCAUUGAAUACGUCCCUGCCCUUUGUACACACCGCCCGUCGCUGCUACCGAUUGAAUGGUUCAGCAAGUUCCACAGACUGGCUCCUUUCCUUGCUUUUUACCAAGUUGGAUAGAUGAGCCGGGAAGUGGCGCAAACUUGACCAUUUAGAGGAAGCAAAAGUCGUAACAAGG